rnacentral:tRNA from 1 species
UGCAGGGUAGAGGAACGUGUACCUCGCCGGGCCCAUAACCCGGAGUUAGCGGGUUCGACUCCCGCCCCUGCUA